rnacentral:rRNA from 1 species
UACGUAGGGACCAAGCGUUGUUCGGAUUUACUGGCGUAAAGGGCGCGUAGGCGGCAAAUUAAGUCAGCUGUGAAAUCUCCGAGCUUAACUCGGAACUGUCAGCUGAUACUGAUGUGCUAGAGUGCGGAAGGGGCAAUCGGAAUUCUUGGUGUAGCGGUGAAAUGCGUAGAUAUCAAGAGGAACACCUGAGGUGAAGACGGGUUGCUGGGCCGACACUGACGCUGAGUGCGCGAAAGCCAGGGGAGCAAACGGG